UACUACGAUUUCUAUCGUAUUAUUUAGACAAGAAGAAAUUUGUGUGGUACAAAUUUUGGCACGCCCAGGGGGACAUUCCUGCCCUCCCAUCUCUCCCUAUUCGCACAAGCAAUUCAAGGCAAUUUUCACAAUGGUACUAAGAAGACGAUUCUAAGGCUGCUCCAAAUGAAGGCUGGAGGCUUAAAAUCUUCAGCAACUUACAAAACACUGGCCAUGCACUCAAAAUUCUGUUCAACAACACGAAGCAAGGCAAAGGCUACUGCUAAGACAUUAGCUCAAAACCUCGCUUCUUCCCAAAUCAAACUCUGUUUUUGGUUCAAAUUUACCAAAAACAUCAUCAAUUAAUUUCCAAAACCUCAAGAAGUAAAGGAAAAAAAACUGGCUAAAUUGCAGGCAAAGGAUGUUGCCUGCAAUGUGGAGGAGGGCAUUCAAAAGCCUUCAUACCUCAAAAAAUUUUACUUCAAAUCUAUAUAUGAUGAUAAAGAAUGAGGAUUCCAACAAGAUCUACUCCAAUUUCUCCUACGAUACUCCCCGAUCAAAGUUUAACAACCAGUGUCUUGUUGGUUAUUCAGCUCUGUGCCCCCAUGCCUGUCAUGACAACAAACGCUCUGUCAUGGAAGAACAACUUGUUAUCUUGAAAAAAAACUGUCAAGGGCUUUAGCAAAACAAUGGAAGACCGUGAUGUUCAAAUGGCAUCAUGGAUUGAAAAAGUUAGAGAGUCUGGGAGAAGGAAUCAAACCAAAUGCUGACAACCCUCCAAAAUUACAAGAUGUUACUGAGGGACUUCCGCCAAACAAACAGAGACUCAAAAUAACUUACAAGUUUCGGCAUGAUGGAUCAAAUCCCUGUCGGGACCCAAUAGAAGGAAAUCAUUUUAGGUGCUAUCAAAGAUAAGGGAAUUCAAAAUCUCUCUCAUUUAUGCUAAGCCUUACACUCAAGGAUUUGAAUCAAAAGGAAGAUGGCCUAUGGGUUACCAACCACGAAAUUCUAGCCAUUGAUGGCACAGGUAAUCCAAAAUAACAUAUGCCCAUUUUGUGGAAACGUGCAAAGUGAUAGAAACUGAUGGAGAUCUUCUCGUCAAGCAAUUUGUGCGUACAAUCAAAGGGCAAUGCUUUUGUUGGUAUGUGAUUCUCGAGCCUCGCAAUUGAAUUUGGGAGCAGCCUAGAACAAGAGUUUCUGAAUCACUUCUAUAGGACUCGUGUACUGUUAGUAUGAUCGAGGCUUACUAGUUCUCGCCAAUGAAAAGAUGAACCGAUCGUUCGAUUACAGUAACGAUGUGGAGAAACUUAAGCCUGAUCUGAAUUGCAAGGAUCGGUUAUGUGAGACUUCUGCAAUUGAGAUUGUGAAUUCAGGCAUGCACUGGGGUUUGCGUUAUAUUUUUGAAGGAAUCAAGCCUAGAACCUUGAAGAACUGGCUACGCGAAGCACAUGAUAUGGAACUCAACAUUGCUUGCAAAUGGAAGUCAAGGACUACUUUUUCAAGAUCCCCACAAGGAGAAAUCAAACCCAACAUGAAAAUGGAAGACAAUAAAGUCUUUCUCCAAGCGAAUACCCAAGACUCAAUGGCGUAAUCACUGCACCAAUCAAGAUCUCGCUAAGUCCAAAAAGAAAGAAGCAGGAAAGUUGAUUACCCCAAGAAAAAAAUGGAAGAAAAAAGCUUUCAUGCUCCAAUGGAAAUGCAGAACAAAGGAGUAUCUUUUUUGACGCUGAAGUCCCAAAGGCUGGAUCAAUUUUAGAAUUGAAAGUCAGUGAGCUCACGGAGAUGAAGCGACCUGAGGAGGCUAGGAAGGUUUUAAUGAUCCAAAAAACUAUUGCAAGUUACCAUCGUUUGGUCAGCCACCCUACUCACGUAUUUUUGUGUUGAAAGAAAGAAUUUUUGGAUAGCUAGCCAAGGGAAGAUUACGCUUUGGCAAGAAGGAAAAAAAAUGGCAACUACUUACCAAACUGCUAUUCCCUUUGGAUUCUUUGAUAAUAUUACUCUCUGGCAAAGAGACUAAAAGCUUUGAAAGACUAUUCUUACAUCGUCAAGAUCAGAAAUUCCAAUUUGGAUCGUUGAACCAGUUUUAACCUUGCAUCGCCUGCUCUUGCAAGCUACUAUCCCUAAAUGGGGGCAAUGAGGGUAAGUAACAAAUCAGGCUGGCUAAAUGACGAAUGGAUUGGACUCUUGUCAGAUUGGGAAGAAAGAAAAGAAAUUACAAAAGUCACACGUUCUCACACAGAAACAAACCGUGUUUCCGUUAAACCCAAAGCAGGGGGAUAGCAACAAAGAAAGAGAAAGGCUUAGAAGGUAGCAUUCGCAAUUGCCAAAAGAUUCUAUAUCCAAAAGUGACGCCACUCCUAUUACUUGGAAAGUUCUCCAAAGUUCAAUACGUCAAGUUGAUGCAGUCGCAUGUAAUGACAUAGACGUAGAAGAAUCCCUUAAGCAGGGUGAUGGAUCACCUUCUUCACUUACAUAGGAUCCCAGUUAGCAUUGACGAUCAGUUUUGUCAAAUAAUUGUGUUACUUGCAUAUCAAAAAUCACUUUCUCAGAUGAAAAUUUGUUGCUUGUUCAAUGCCACACAAUCGUCUUCUCUUCAUCCCCACUGAUUACACGAGGAGCAUAGAAUCAAAAAUGAUUUUGCUCUAGAUGGUAGCUAGUGUUAACAGCUGUUAACAUUUUGCCUCUUCGUGCAAUGAAAGAACUUGGCGUCAUGAUGGAGGAGCUUCCCCUAGUCGCUUGAUAAUACAAGGGUUUAAUCAAGGAGGACAAAGAGCUAUUGGAGCUCUUCGUCUUGACUACUAUCGAUAACAUGAUAUCAAGUGAAUUAUUUUAUGUCAUUGCUGUAAGCCUUCAUUACAACCAUGCUGCUAGGAUGACCUUGACUACAUGAGAAUGGUUUGUUACCAUCUACCCUCACCAAUGUGUUUCAAGUUUGUCGCACGGUGGUGUAAAAGAAUUGUUGCGACGACAAAACUGUUACUGAACUAGAAUCAUAUUUUGCUGAUGCUAAGUUUUACAUGGCGAGAUAUCAUAAUGAAAGAAUUACAACCAUCAUCUCUCAUCGAUUACAAGUUUCAAAAUGGUGAUGAAGUCUCAACCUUGAAAAAACUUUACUUAAUCAACCCCCCCCCCCCCCCAAAAUAAAAAAAAUCAUAACGAGGAUAGAAGCUGAAGACAAAACUUCAAAGGCGCCUCCAGUUCUUCGAUGUAUGCCAAGUUAAGAAAUAGUGAGGAUCAAAUUUUGAAAUAUUGCCUUUCUAUCACCAGUUUUUUUUAAACAGACAAAGCUUUUACACCAUUGAAGGGAUUCAUACAACCAGUACAGAGUCUUGAAGUGGAGCAUGGCGAUAUGCCUUCACCAAAGAAACAAAAGAAGGUUUUGAUUCCAAUUGCCGAACAAAAUUUCGCAAAGGAGGGAUAUAGUCCCUCAAGAGUCAAAUGCUUUAGGAACACUAUCAUUUGAAGUCAUUGGGAAAAUAUGCAUUGUUUAAAUUUAACUCAAAAACAUACAAGCAAAAGGCUAUGCUGUUCAAAAUUAUCAUAUUGGCCAUGGGUAUACUCCACCUGCUCCUAUGUGUAUUGUGUAAAGAAGAAGGCAAGCAAUCACAUUAUCCAUAGCUGAAGGAAAAUGCUUCACCAACUUCAAUCAAACCUUCUUUUUGUGAUCGUCUGGUUGGUUAAGUCAAAGUGCAAGAACCUCAGUCUUUGAUCGAUUAGGGCCCAUCAAGUCGGUUCAUACUUCACUGUGUUAUUCACGAAGGUCUGUGCAUGAAGACAGGCUGGGUGUUUCAAAUCUUCUAAAACCAAAGAAGCUAAGAAAAAGAAAAAAAAAUGUCUAAUUUCUUUCUUGGAGGAUGAGAAAAGUGGAGAAGUGCAAUACCAUCCCGUAUGAAAUGCCAUACUACUAUGUAGUGAUUACUGAUGAAGUUAUGAAGAUGAGACUAAAAACAGUGGUAGUUACCAAAAUUCUCCCGAAACAUUAGAUGCCCUAGCUCAAAGAAAGUGGAUGUGCUUUUCAUACCAUAUUACUGCUUCUUGAUUGGAGAAGACCAUCCUGCAAUGAGAGCGGAGGAUGCUCCGCAGCUUAGAUUUUUAUUAGAAUUUGAAGAAGGUGUUAAAUCCACUGUUAAUGACUUGAAUAUAAAAUCAACCUUGUACAUUAGAUGACACGACCGGUUACGUAAGUGCUCUCUCACUUCCGAGGAAGAAGAAAUGUCAUUGAGAUGCGGCUGAAUACAAGGAUGUUUUUGCUUGGAGCUUAAGAAAUGCCUGGACAGAUCCUAAGGUGGCUUUUGGGUCCAUAACUUGGCAAGUAAAAUUGGCGUUCGGACCGAUUCAAACAAGCACACGACGUUUUGAACAGGAAAUUAAUUCCUAAGAUUGAAAACAGAGGUCAACAAGCUUAUUAAAAAUGAUUAUUUGGAGAAGUCAACUAUCCAAUGGGAUUUCAAGUAUGUCCUGUUAAAAAGGAAAAAUGGACUAAUUCAAAAUUUGUGUUGAUUUUCGAGAUCUACAACGUUUGUCUAAAAGAUGACUUUACCAUUGCCUAUAACUGGAGCUCAUGGAUAGAUGCUACUACUGGAAUGAGGCAUUAUCUUUUAUGGAUGGUUCAUAUGGGAUACAUCAAUUCGGAUGCUCCAUGAGAUGAGGAGUGACAACCUUUCGUACGCCAAAAGGAAUCUAUUGUUACAAAGUCAUACCUUUCGGAUUAAAGGAACGCUGGGCGGCUACAUACAAAGCGCAAUGAAAAUAUUCUUCAAACGACAUGCUUCACAAAAAUAUCGAAUGUUAUGUUGACGAUCUUGUGUAAAAAACGAGAGAGGGGACCGAGGUGAUAUCUUCAAGAUUUGCGAAGUUGUUUGAUCGAUGUGAAGAUACCAAACUCAAGAUGGAUCCUUUGAAGUGUGGCCUUUGGAGUUACAUCCGAAAAAUUCUUGGGAUUUCAUGUAUGACGUCGUGGCAUAAGAUUGAACAGUCGAAGAUUGAAGAUAUUUUGAAGAUGCUCGGAACUUCGAAUAUCCACGAACUCAAAAGUUUGCAGAAGGGCGAUUCGGCUUAUCUAGGCGGUUUCAUAUCAAAUUUGGCUGGUCGUUGUCACCAUUAAGUCGUCUCAUGAAAAAGGGAAUUCUUUUGAAUGGGAUGAAGCCUGCAAUAAUGCCUUUCACAAGAUGAAGGCGUAUUUAAUGAAACUCUCAGUGUUGGGUGCUCCUAUUUUGGAUGACCAUAAUUUGGUACAUGUGCUCAAGAACGUCAGUAUGGGCUAUUCUUGCUCAAGAGCAUGACGAAGGAAAAUAAAAGACUCUUUACACUUGAGUAAAUGAUGCGCCAUUAGCGGUUGAAUUAUUCACCAAUUGAGAAAAUGUGCUUAGCUCUAGUCUUUACUGUUUCAAAAAGUUACGCAUACUUUCACCUACACGUUCAUCUCCUAUUAAAGCAACCUUGUCAAGUACAUCAUGACAAAACAAGUUUUGUCUAAUCGAUUAGCAAGAUGGUCUCUAUUUUUCAAGAGUUUUAAAAUCAUUACGUAACCUCAAAGGCGUAUCAAAGGAACAGCCUUAGCGAUUUCUUGGCUGAUCACCCCAUACCUGUUGAUUGGGAAUAUCAAAGAAUUUCUAGUGAAGACGUCCUCUUCAUUGAAGUACGACCGCAUGGAAGAGUACUGAUGGUGCUUCUCAUCAUGAGGGUGCUGGGCUGGUAUAGUAUUUCUCAAUCCGGAAGGAGACGUGCUACCCUUAUGCCUUCACUUCUACACAAUUAUGCACAAAUACAUGGAAGCUGAAUAUCAAGCUCUCAUUAUCGGGCUUAAAAAUGGCUAUUGACAUAAAAACAACUGCGCUUGGGCAUUGAAGUGAUAGGAGGACUCCCAACUGAUAAUUAAUUAACUUCUUAACAUUUGAAGUGAGAAAGCCUGUGUGUGAACUAUACCUUAUUAUAAUUAUGCCACCCCCCCCCCCAUUACUGCCCGAAUGAUGAAUGGAUUGGUGGUGUCACUUUAGAGCAUGUGUCAAGAAGCAAGAAUAGACAAGCGAUUGCACUGGCAAAAACUUGCAUUUCUUUUUACAUUACCCGAUGUAGAGCUCGGAUUCCAAUAUGUCAGAGAUGGGUAAUGCAUCCACACUUGAUGAUGAAUAAAUUGACAAAAUGGAGGCUAAUGACCAUUGGUAUUAAAAUUGAGAAAAGAGAUUGGCGGCAAUCACUAUCGGAUUACCUGGCAAUAUGAAAAGUUGCCGAGAAUCGCAUAGAAGAACUGACAUAAGGCGGUUUAGGCUCCACCUUCAUUAUUUCCAAUGAUUACACUUUAUUGACGUUCCUUUGAGGGACUGGCUCCUUGUUGCCUUGGAGAAAAUGAAGCAAUUACAAGCCUAGAAGAAGGCUCACUCUAAUAUAUGUGGUACUACCCAUUAGGCCCUUCAACUUCACUUCGGAAUUUAAAGAAUGGGGCUAUUAGUGGCCAACCAUGGUAAAUGAUUGUCUAGAGUUUGCCAAGAGCGUCUCAGCAUGUCAUUCCAUGCCAAAUUUCAUACAUCAAACCGCCGAAGCCGCUCCAUCCAACUAUUGGCCUCUUGGCCAUUUGGUGAUGGGGCUAGAUAUAGUAGGACCUUUGUCUAAACUUAUGCCGAGUCAUUUCAUUAUUCUAGCUAAAACUGAUUAUUUAUCCAAAUGGGCUUGAAGUGUGCCAUUAGGGAAGUAAAGAAAGAAACUUUGUGGAGUUCAUUCGUACAAAUAUCAUCCUUAGAUACGUAUACCGCGCUAUCAUCAUCAAGACAAUGGAAAGCUAUUUUAUAAUAGUCGAUGAAUAAACUUUGCGAAGAAGUUUGGUUUUAAGCAACAUAAGUUUUUCAUGUACAAUGCCACAAGCAAAUGGUCUCGCCGAAAGCAUUCAACAAAAACUGGGAAAUCUUCUAAGAAGGUGGUAGCCAAUCAAAAAGAGAUUGGCACGAGAGAAUCGGAGAAAGCUCUUGGGCGUAUCGAACAACUCAUCGAAAUCAAACCAAGCUACUCCCUAUUUCGCUAAGUUUACGGGGUGGAGAGGUUUUGCCACUUGAGGCGCAACUUCCAUCAUUAAGAAUUGCUAUUCAAGAAAAGAUCUCACUCAGAAGAAAAUACCGUUCUACAUCUUGAAAGAGUUGGAAGCACUUGAUCCCUGAAAAUAGACUUGAAGCACAACACGGCUUAGAAUGUUUACCAAGCUCGCCUUCUAAGCCUUCAAUAAAAAGGUGCGCCCCAGUUCGUUCAAAAAGGAGACUUGGUGCUUGCUGUGAGAAGACCCAUCAUCACCACCCAUCGAAUGGGAAAUAAAUUUACUUCCAAGUGGGAUGGCCCAUAUGUGAUACAAGAAGUUUAUUCCAUGGUGCUUACAACUUGUUGCCGGGGGGCUAUAUGGGGCUUAAGAAUUGGCCCUAUCAACGGCAAAUUUUUAAAGAGAUACUACCCCUGAUGCUCAAAAGAUGUUCCUACCCGCACGAGCUUAAACUGUGAAUGGCAACAAAAAAAAAAUUAGUCAUUUUUUUUAAAAAAAAU
rnacentral:lncRNA from 1 species